rnacentral:rRNA from 1 species
UACGUAGGGGGCGAGCGUUGUCCGGAUUUAUUGGGCGUAAAAGAGCUCGUAGGCGGUUUGGUAAGUUGGAUGUGAAAUCUCCAGGCUCAACUUGGAGGGGUCAUUCGAUACUGCCUGACUAGAGUUCGGUAGGGGAGUGUGGAAUUCCUGGUGGAGCGGUGAAAUGCGCAGAUAUCAGGAGGAACACCCGUAGCGAAGGCGGCACUCUGGGCCGGAACUGACGCUGAGGAGCGAAAGCGUGGGGAGCGAACAGG